AAAAAAUAUUUUCGAGUAAUAUAAAUUUUUGAAAAAUAUAAAUUUUUUGAGUCAUGUGAAUAUGAGUGUUGUUGAAAUGAAAAAAUAUAAUAAGAUAGACUCAUAAGUCACAUCUGUCAGUUUCCCUCAAAUUGCAACCAAACAAAAAACAAAUAGAAAAACAUUUUUCCGAAAACAUUUUCCAUCCUACCAAACACACCCUCCAUCUCUCUUCUUCUUCCUCCUUUCCACCAUCACCAAACCAGAAUCGCCUAGCGGCCAUAGCCACCGCACCAUAGAUGCUACACCUGCACGAGACCCCCCCCCUGCAAAUCAGCCCUUCCAGCCCGUGAAUCCUUUCAAGAACAGAAAAUCAGCCCCAAAUCCGUAUAACAGCAAAAAUAGGUUUCAAACCCGCAUUAAAGGCCUGUGAUUAGCCCAAAUCGAGAGAUGAAUCGUCCAUUUCAACAGUUUGAAUCUAAUUUCGUCAUCUUUAUCCGACGUUGGUUUCCAUUAAGAUAUUGAUUUCAAAUCUGGAUUUUGAAAUCCGGAUUUGCACCUAUAAAUAGAAGGUCAGACAAAGGUUUUGAAGAGGCUUAAUUUUUGAAGCAAAAUGGAGAGAAAAAAAGAACAGAGAGAGAGGGUGGAAGGUCUGAAAAGAAAAGCAAAAAAAUUUUGUGAGAAGGGUAAAAGAAAAUUCGUUUUUUUUUAAAAAAAAAUAGAGAAAACGAAAAGAGAACAGAAAACGGGUGUCUCAAAAUUGGUAGCUUUCUUUUUCUGAUUUCGGGCCUAAAUUUGAAGUUUCGCAGUUUGAGUUAAUUGGCGGAAAUUCUCGAUGUUAUCGCUCCGGUUUUGCUGCCCAAAGUGAGGUAAACUCGUUGGAGUUCCGCAACGAAAUUCGUUUUAACACAAUAUCGGGUCAAUCGCUAUUAGGAUCACAAAGCUUCGGGAUUGCAUAUACUUGAAAACUCAAACUCCGAAACGGAGUCUAUACCCCUUUAGCUAUUCUUCGUUAAUUUAUUCAUAUUGUGUUAUGACUUUUUAGAAUGAUAACUAAAUUUAUGUUUGUUAUUAAUUUUGUUUGAGAUAACUUUAUUUAUUGCUUC